rnacentral:rRNA from 1 species
UACGUAGGGACCAAGCGUUGUUCGGAGUUACUGGGCGUAAAGGGCGCGUAGGCGGCAUGACAAGUCACUUGUGAAAUCUCUGGGCUUAACUCAGAACGGCCAAGUGAUACUGUCGCGCUAGAGUGCAGAAAGGGCAAUCGGAAUUCUUGGUGUAGCGGUGAAAUGCGUAGAUAUCAAGAGGAACACCUGAGGCGAAGGCGGGUUGCUAGGCUGACACUGACGCUGAUGCGCGAAAGCCAGGGGAGCAAACGGG